ensembl:lincRNA
UUUGUGACAUUUGUCAUGCCAAUAAAGCAAUUAUUGAAUUGAAUUGAAUUGAGUUGAAUUUAAUUGAAUUGAGAGAGAGAGAGAGAGAGAGAGAGAGAGGUGGGCGGAGCUUGUAGUGUUGUGAGUAACAGGUGUUCAGCAGCUGCUCUUCACAUACACAGAAACACCGCGACAGUCCUCACAUCCACUCGGAGCCGCUCUGGUUUAGCGAUUUUAUCAAUAAUAACCGGAAUAACGGCUGACAUAUCGGUCUGGUGCUCCAGAUCUCCUGGUUCUCCUCCAUCCGUCUGCUCCGGGCUGCCCCAUGCAGGGAGCGGCUGAUCGGUGAGCCUGUCCAGACUGAAGCUGGGGAAGCUAAAGGUGGUGCGGCGGCAGCUGCUGCAGCGCUAUGAGCACCAGCCAUUUGUCUCCUGUCUGGCCGGUCUGUACGGCUGCCAGUGGAGAAGAUACCAGCGCGCCAAAGCCCAGCCGGGAGAGUGCUGCUGCAGCCGGUUGGAGUGCAGUAGUUUCGCUCUCCUCAUCGUAACGUUUUUCCUGACGCUGAUAUUCCUGUAUUUCUGGAGUGAAGCGCAAAAUGAUUACAACGACUUCGACUGGUGAGUGUCUCCAGAUGAACGGAACAUUUUUAUCGAUAAAUGUAGAGCUCUGUUUGCACCGAAAUCUUUUAUUUAGCUUUUAAUUUCAAUCUAGUCGGAGGAAAUUAUGAUCCACAUUCAUGAGAACAGUCUUCUCUUUAAGUUUUCAUUAAUGAUUCAUUACUAAUGGGAAAGAUACUGAUGUUUCGACUCAAAGCUUUCUUCAGUGUGCAAAGCGCAGUGUGCAAUUCAGUCCCAAUAGGUAAAAACAAUUAUUUUUACGUUUAAAUUGUUUAUUGUGAAAAAACAAACAUUAUAUCAGUACAGAUAGUUACAUAUCAUUCUCUUUUUUUUUUUUACAAAAGAGACAAAAAAAACAAUAACAAAAAUAUAUAUAUAUAUAAUAAAAACGAGAAAUAUUAAUAAUAAUAAUGAUAAUAAUAAAAGAGGAAAAGAAAAAUAAAACAUGAGUAUUAAGUGUACUGAAAAUUACAACCAAAUAUCACAAUCAAAUGUUCAGAUACAUUGUCAAUGUUGAAAGUAAAUAUUUACAAUUAAACGGUAUAAAAUGGUACUAGAUAAAACAAAAAAGUUUAAUUAAAACGAAAUAAAUUAAAAAGGGAGGGAACUCAGGAGAUUGCAUCUAUUAAAUGGAAGGCAAUACCUUAAGAGAGUUAAAGUAAGUUAUAAAACAUUGUCACUUUUUAAAGAAAUGAGUUUUCCCAGAGCAUCUAACCUUUUCCAACUUAAGAAAAUGCAUGGUAUCUACAAGCCAUUGGGAUGUAGUUGGAGGCUUAUUUGAUUUCCAGUGAAGUAGUAUACGACGCCUGGCUAUUAGUGAGGUAAAGGCCAAAACAUCAAGCUGUUUAGAAUUAAAUUUGGACCAAAUCUUUGGAACCCCAAAAAUGGCAACAUCAGGGGAUGGGUCUAUAUUUACCUGCAACACCUUGGACAUAAUUGUAAAAUAACUAAUCCAAUAAUUCUGUAAUAGAGGGCACAUAAAGAACAUAUGACUCAAAUUACAACUUGGUGCAUGACAUCUGUCACAUCUAUCAUCGAUAUUGGGAAAAAUUUCAGAUAGCCUGGUUUUUGAGAAAUGGACUCUGUGAAAGACUUUGAAUUAUAUCAGACUAAGCCGAGCACAAAUUGUACUAGAACGUAUUCAAAAACAAUUAUUUUUAACCAUCAAUAAGACCUAAACAAUAAGACAAAACAAAUAAGACUUUUUCCAGAAGAAACAAUAUUAUCAGACAUACUGUGAAAAUUUCCUUGCUCUGAUAAACAUCAUUUGAGAAAUAUUUAAUAUUUAAUAUAUAUAUACAGUUGAAGUCAGAAUUAUUAGCCC